rnacentral:lncRNA from 1 species
UCCUCUCAUCUCUGUUCUGAACCUUCCACACUGAAAACCCAGCUGCCUUCCUUUUAUCUGAAGAGUUGUUCAGAGGCUUAUCUAGCUUCAGUUGAUUUCCUGCUGCUCCAUUGGUUCUUGCUCUUGUUCUUGCUGCUGCUGCUUUUGCUCUUUGUGUGUUCAUGUGAGGAGAAGGAUUGGAAGAAGGGAAGUGAAGCAGAGAUUGGGAAGAGCAGGUUUGGUCAAGAAGGAAGAACAGAGUGGGAGUUUCAGGAGAAGCUGAGAGGACAACACUGA